UUUCAUAGCAUGAUGCUCGUCAAGGAGCAGAGCGUCGCUACAGACACACCCUUCAGCAGGUUGGGCUAAGCGAAGAAUUUGUAAGGAAAAAAGGGAAAGAUGCCACUGACUUGCUGGAAGAAGAAUCUGAUGUUCACAGAGUGCCCAAGCCUGAGGGUGAAAAGGACGACUGUACUGUACAGGAAGGAGAACCUCAAGAGGAACAGAGCCGAAAGGAAAUGGCAACAUAAGAUCUAGCAGAAGAAUCCAUUGAUCGUCUCUUGAUUUUUUUUUUUAAUUCAAGAUUCUUCAGGUUAAUCCUCAGGAACUUUCUGGUUUAGGCUGAUACCUAAGAAUUGCUCUGGGGUAAGUGAGAUGUGAGUACUUGGUAAAGGAAAAAAAAGACCACCUAGUAUUUAGAGCAUGCCUUGUCCAACCCAACAAAGCCUGCAGCCCCCCUUAGUCUUCACAAGUGUUCCCCCAGUGAGCCACUUCCCUUUCUAUAACAGGCAACAAAACAAGUUAAAGAGGUUGAAGCACUAUCUUUGGAUAAAAGUAGAUAUGAAAGAUUGAAGAGGUGCAUCCUCUAGUGUCAGCUCCUUGUGUUCACACUGUAGAAGCACGCAGAAAGGGGAGAAUGCCUUUCAGGGUGCUAAACCUUGGUUUACACAUGUAUGUGGUAGAAUGCUUUUAAACAAAGUAUAAAAUCAAAGAAAAACCAAGAUUUGACCUACCUUGGGAGAACACUCAGAGGGAAGUCCUUCUCCGGUGUUAACUCUUCAUUCACUCAUUACCAGCUCUGCUCCUUCCUCCCACUAGGAAGAAGCAAUAGUCUUUCUGUAUGAAAAUAUCUCCCACAUUUCACUCUUGGAAACUGUUCUAACAUCUUAUCCAAGGUGGAUUUGGUGGAAGAAGGAUUAGGUAUUACCUGUCAGCAUGUUGCACUCAAAUGCCUGGUGCAUCUUAAAUGGUAUAUAGUUCACACAUUAGUGGUUUUCCUUUACCUGACAGUAAUAAUGAUCUCAAAAAUACAAACCCUUACCUCCUGGAAUGUUUUCUGAGAAUUAUGAUAUCAAAGCACUUUGAGAUUAAAAGAUUUUUACAUGGCUAUCAA